rnacentral:rRNA from 1 species
AUACGGAGGGUGCAAGCGUUAAUCGGAAUUACUGGGCGUAAAGCGUGCGUAGGCGGUUUGUUAAGUCAGAUGUGAAAGCCCCGGGCUCAACCUGGGAACUGCAUUUGAUACUGGCAGACUAGAGUAUGGUAGAGGGGGGUAGAAUUUCUGGUGUAGCGGUGAAAUGCGUAGAUAUCAGAAGGAAUACCGGUGGCGAAGGCGGCCCCCUGGACCAAUACUGACGCUGAUGUACGAAAGCGUGGGGAGCGAACAGGAUUAGAAACCCCGGUAGUCC